rnacentral:RNase_P_RNA from 2 species
GAAACCCAUGGGAUGAUCGCUGUUUUUUGGUUGAUCCAAAGAAGAGAGGAAAGUCCGGGCUCCGUAGGGUAAAGAUGCUGGGUAACGCCCAGGGGGUUCUUUUGGAAAGAAGAAUUCACGGAAAGUGCCACAGAAAAUAAACAGCUUUGGCGUAUCGGGUCAUUCCCGCGAAAGCGGGAAUCCAAUACCCAAAGUUACGGUGAAAAGGUGAGGUAAGAGCUCACCAGUAGGAAGCGUAAGUUUCUUAGCUCGGUAAACCCCAUCUGGAGCAAGGCAAAAUAGAAAAAGGUGUUUGAAGCUGCCCGUUUCAAAGGUUGAGUGAUCAACCUUCACCUUUUGGGUAUGCCGCUUGAGGAAGACAGCAAUGUCUUUCCUAGAUGAAUGAUCGUCGCUUCGAAAGAAGUUACAGAACCCGGCUUAUAACAUGGGUUUCAAAA